rnacentral:rRNA from 1 species
UACGGGGGGGGCAAGCGUUGUUCGGAAUUACUGGGCGUAAAGGGUUCGUAGGUGGCUGGCUAAGUCAGACGUGAAAUCCCUCAGCUUAACUGGGGAACUGCGUCUGAGACUGGUCAGCUUGAGUGCAGGAGAGGAACGCGGAAUUCCAGGUGUAGCGGUGAAAUGCGUAGAUAUCUGGAGGAACACCGGUGGCGAAGGCGGCGUUCUGGACUGCAACUGACACUGAGGAACGAAAGCGUGGGGAGCGAACAGG